GUAGGUGGCAAGCGUUGUCCGGAAUUAUUGGGCGUAAAGCGCGCGCAGGCGGUCCUUUAAGUCUGAUGUGAAAGCCCACGGCUCAACCGUGGAGGGUCAUUGGAAACUGGGGGACUUGAGUACAGAAGAGGAAAGCGGAAUUCCAAGUGUAGCGGUGAAACGCGUAGAGAUUUGGAGGAACACCAGUGGCGAAGGCGGCUUUCUGGUCUGUAACUGACGCUGAGGCGCGAAAGCGUGGGGAGCAAACAGGAUUAGAUACCCUGGUAGUCCACGCCGUAAACGAUGAGUGCUAAGUGUUAGGGGGUUUCCGCCCCUUAGUGCUGCAGCUAACGCAUUAAGCACUCCGCCUGGGGAGUACGGCCGCAAGGCUG
rnacentral:rRNA from 1 species